CCUACGGGAGGCAGCAGUGGGGAAUAUUGGGCAAUGGGCGCAAGCCUGACCCAGCAACGCCGCGUGAAGGAAGAAGGCUUUCGGGUUGUAAACUUCUUUUAAGGGGGAAGAGCAGAAGACGGUACCCCUUGAAUAAGCUACGGCUAACUACGUGCCAGCAGCCGCGGUAAUACGUAGGUGGCAAGCGUUGUCCGGAUUUACUGGGUGUAAAGGGCGUGCAGCCGGAGAGACAAGUCAGAUGUGAAAUCCACGGGCUCAACCCGUGAACUGCAUUUGAAACUGUUUCCCUUGAGUGUCGGAGAGGUAAUCGGAAUUCCUUGUGUAGCGGUGAAAUGCGUAGAUAUAAGGAAGAACACCAGUGGCGAAGGCGGAUUACUGGACGAUAACUGACGGUGAGGCGCGAAAGCGUGGGGAGCAAACAGGAUUAGAUACCCCUGUAGUC
rnacentral:rRNA from 1 species